rnacentral:rRNA from 1 species
AGUGAACGCUGGCGGUGGGCCUAACACAUGCAAGUCGAACGGCAGCACAGUAAGAGCUUGCUCUUACGGGUGGCGAGUGGCGGACGGGUGAGGAAUACAUCGGAAUCUACUUUUUCGUGGGGGAUAACGUAGGGAAACUUACGCUAAUACCGCAUACGACCUACGGGUGAAAGCAGGGGAUCUUCGGACCUUGCGCGAUUGAAUGAGCCGAUGUCGGAUUAGCUAGUUGGCGGGGUAAAGGCCCACCAAGGCGACGAUCCGUAGCUGGUCUGAGAGGAUGAUCAGCCACACUGGAACUGAGACACGGUCCAGACUCCUACGGGAGGCAGCAGUGGGGAAUAUUGGACAAUGGGCGCAAGCCUGAUCCAGCCAUACCGCGUGGGUGAAGAAGGCCUUCGGGUUGUAAAGCUCUUUUGUUGGGAAAGAAAAGCAGCAGGUUAAUACCCCGCUGUUCUGACGGUACCCAAAGAAUAAGCACCGGCUAACUUCGUG